UCGAGAAUCUUCGGCAAUGGACGAAAGUCUGACCGAGCGACGCCGCGUGCGGGAUGAAGGCCUUCGGGUUGUAAACCGCUGUCGGAGGGGAACAAAUGUACGGGGGUUCUCCCCUGUAUUUGAGUGAACCUAGGAGGAAGGAGAGGCUAAGCUCGUGCCAGCAGCCGCGGUAAGACGAGCUCUCCGAACGUUAUUCGGUAUCACUGGGCUUAAAGAGUUCGUAGGCGGUCUGGUAGGUGAGGUGUGAAAUCCCCCGGCUCAACCGGGGAACUGCGCUUCAAACCGCCGGACUUGAGGGAGACAGAGGUGGGCGGAACAGAUGGUGGAGCGGUGAAAUGCGUUGAUAUCAUCUGGAACACCGGUGGCGAAAGCGGCCCACUGGGUCUUUUCUGACGCUGAG
rnacentral:rRNA from 1 species